ensembl:lncRNA
CCUCCUCCUCCUUCUCCUUCUUAUUCUCCUCCUCCUCCUCCAUCCUUCUCCUCCUCCUUCUUCGUCUCCUCCUCCUCCAUCCUUCUCCUUCUCCUUCUUCUUCUCCUCCUCCUCCUCCAUCCUUCUCCUCCUCCUCCUUCUCCUCCUCCUCCUUCUUCUCUUUCUCCUUCUCCUUCUCCUCCUCAUACUCCUUCUUCUUCUCCUUCUCCUUCUCCCCUCAGCCCUGCGCCAUAUCCAAGCACCUUGAUGACUGUUACCUCCUCCUGCACAUGUCAGCAGGAGUGAAGUGGUUUUUCAUCAUCUCUCCUCAAGAUAGAGUUUUCUACCCGUCGAGUGUCCUCAAGAUGAGGAAUCAGCCAUCGGCCCCAAGAUCUCCCAGCGUGGAGACCAGUCUGCAGCUGACGGGGUUAAUUAACAGGUUAGACUGAAUCGGUGUGCCUCUCGUUGAUGAAUGCAGAGCAUGUCUUCUGUGGCUCUGGUGACCUGUGACGGUCAGCAGUCCAAUACAUGAAUUUGGGGUUUUCUAUUUUAUAGUAAUCCCUAACAAUACCAGUUACUGUCUCAAUCCCCUGAAUAAAGAUGGCCUUUCCCGAAAGACUGUUCCAUUCCAUCUUUGGUAGUUAUCUCCAUUGUUUACACUUCAACGUGGAUUCUACCUUUUUGAAGUAAUUUAGUACUUCUGACCUACAUGGCAGCAAUUCUCCAAACGUCUCUGAAGCUACCCUCUAAAAAUCUACCACAAUUAAUUUUGAAUUCAUUGACAAGAAAUGGAUUACACAAUUGCAGAAUUAUGCAUAAUGGUUUGUGUAAAAUUGAAAGUUUUAAUAGAUGACAUUCGGGAGUUUGGGGGAAAGCAAAUUGCACACUUCAUUAGGCUUAGUGGUGGUUUUAAGACCUGAUCGUGUUCCAGCUUUAGUAGUGAAACGAUUAACGUUUUGGAAAUAAAACUGACGAAGAAAUCAUACAAAUACCAACUAGAGAAACUACUUCUUUUGUCCACCAAAUGGUCAUUGUGUGAUAAAGGGAUUUAAAAAAAUGUACCGCCUAGGAUGGAAAAUGAUGAAAUGAACAGAAAAACAAACAGAAAUAACUGGAGCUUUUUCUUCUGCAUGCUGGGCUGGUUUGCAUAUUUGGAACCAAAUAUUUACAGGUUUGAAAUCUUUUAAACGUCACAUCUCUGCACGCACACUCAACUUGAUACGGCAUCUUAUACUAAAAUUAUAAUCAAAUGUCAGAGACAUUUUUGCAGCCAUAAAGGGAGUGUAAUUAAAGCCCCGUUAGAGGACGCAAAACAGCGUUUCUAUUGUUAAUCCAGUCAUGUAGUGUUCUUAUACGUUAUACAUUAUACAUUAUUAUUUGGGCUUUUCAGAGCAUUGAUGUUUAACCUGCGAAUUUACCAACAAAGUAAGUGACAAAAGUAAUGUAGUUCACGUAAGCAAAAUAUUUGAAACAUUUUUAAAAUGAAAGUUGUAAUGACUAUAAUAAUAAUAACUGACUAUAAUAAUAAUAAUAAUUAAAUCAAUAAAUAAUGCCUCAGAUAUAAAUAGAUAAUACAUUUGGGGACUGGAUUAUGAUAAAUCAAUAAAGUUACAUAAUUCAAAACAUUUGUCAAAAAUGGAGCCCACCAUUAUUCAGAAGAUAUUCACACCCUUGGAAAGCCCCCAGCAUUAAAGAGCCAACGAGGCCAUCCGCAUAUUUACGUGGCCAGAAGGAGAUUGGAUCAAUGGUAAAAGUUGAAGUGAAUCUGCUCUUAAUUGGGUUUUUUGAGGUAGAACAUUUACAAAUGUGAGUCCAGAUGAGUUGCACAUUCUCUGUCGAGCUGCCAAGCGUUAAUACUCUUCUCUUUGUUUGACAAAUAAUCACAGGUACAUUUUUGCUUAACCAUGUGGAUUAUAACAGUGUUGCUAUGUUGUUGUUUUUUUGUAAUUAUUUGUAGAAAUGAUGAACUCCUGAAAUUUGAAAUAAAGCCAGCAUGACGUCAGGAAAACAUGCAUUCUAAGAGGAGUGAGUGGUUCUCUG